UGAAUAAUUAAGACUGGUUAUUUACUAUUGGCACACGUCAUGCUGAUGUGUUUACUUGAAAAGUAAACCAAUCGACGUCCGCGGCUUGCAUUUCCGGAAAAUCGGUUUAUUUUGUAACCUUGUGUGUGUUUACGUUCCGUGUGUUGUUUCCAAACUUGUAAUCCAUACGUGCAUUAUGCUAAAAUACGUCGCUGGAGCGAAGCCGGGUAAGAAACUGCCAACAACGGAACGUAAGUCAAGCAAUGACUAUGAAAAAAGUCGUAAACGUGAUUUUCAAGGAAAAUGGUUUAACAUCUAUCCUUGGUUGAAAUAUGAAAAUAAUGUAAUGUAUUGUUCAGUUUGUCGCGUACAGUCCAUGAAAACAAAACAGCACGAGUCCCUAGCCUUUGUAAAAGGCACAGACAAUUUUAAGCUCGAGUCAGUUAAACAACAUGAUGAUAGCAUCGUGCAUAAAAGGUACAUUGAGAUAGGAGAGGCGAAAUCACAACCAUCCUGUAAGAGUAAGGCUGCUGAAGCUUUAAGAACAUUGCAUGAAAGUCAGCACAACAGUCUGGCUAUCAAAUUUCGCACUGCCCAUGCACUGGCCAAAACCCACAUGAGUUUUAGAACAUACAGUACCAUAUGUGUGUUAGAUGAGGCUAAGGGAUUGGAUGUUGGUGUGAACUAUCGUAAUGACAAAGCUGUUGCUUCUUUUACAAAAGCUAUUGCAACUGUUGUGCAAAGAACAACUGUAGAAAAAUUGAAGGAUACACAGUUCUGUAGUUUCACAAUUGAUGGGUCAACUGAUUUCACGGGAGAUGAUCUUGAAAACAUCUACAUUCGAACUGUUCACUCCGGACGUGUUGAGGACACGUUCUUGCACAUAGGUUGUGCUGAAUCUGGCUCCAGCAAACACAUACAUGAGCAUGUCAAGGAAGUGUUUGCAAAACUUCACAUUACAGAUGAAAUGUAGUCAAAACUCGUCGGUUUCACUGCAGAUGGAGCAGCAAAUAUGCAGGGUCACAAGACUGGACUUGCAACACUGUCGAAAGCAGAAUGGCCACACCUAGUAGCUACACACUGUCUAGCUCACAGACUCGAACUGGCAUUCAAAGAUGCCGUAAAACUGACAAACAUAAACAUGUAUGAAAAGAGUAUGACUCUACUUAUUGGACUGUAUUAUUUGUACAACAAGUCCCCUAAACAGAAGAAAGCGCUUAAGAGAGCAUUCGUCAUGAUGGACUUCAAGGCAUCUAUAAUGCCUACACGCAUGCAUCGGUGGGACCAGAUGGUUGCCACACUUGGACCGUUCACUGUCAGCCUUCUUUAAAGGCUACAGAGCGCUAGUGUACCAGCUACAGACGUCAUCCCAUGACAAUGCCAAGGCAGAGGGGUUUGCCAAGCUGGCUACAGAUGGCUUUUUGAUCCUUUACUUGCUACAGCUCAAGCACGUGGUUUCAAUGUUGAUGAGACUGUCAAAGUAUCUACAGAAGCAGGAGGUUUCCUUGGCUGAUGCUUACUCUAGGGUAGCUGUAACCAUGAAAGGCCUUGUGACCUUGAAGUCAGUAUGGAAAUGGUGAGGUCAAAAUUUUGUGUGGCCACUUCAGAGAUGUCCUCAAGUUUGACAGUGAGGAAAUUGUUCUGGAGGAGUGGAAACUUCUGCGAGACCAUGUGUAUGAAAAGUAACCAGACUCCCUAGAAGGCGUGAAAUGGCCAGACAUAUUCUGUCUGAUGCAUGGACGGGAUGUUGAUUUGGCCCUAAAGCUUGUGGAACAGACUUCUGUUAAAAAUGAGACAACAUUCAGUGCAAUGAAGCUUAUCAAGCUUAAGAGAAGGGGAAAGAUGAGCACCGAUACAUUAAAAGAUUUGGUCGCCAUCCACCUUGAGGCCCCCAGCAUUGCCCAAUUCAACCCAGAUGAUGCCAUAAUGGAGUGGAUGACAAGCAGCACUGGUAGACGUUUGGGGUAUUCUCGAAAGAGAAAGGUACCAGAGGAUGAGUCAGAGGUCACAGACAUGACAGCACCAGGUCCAUCAACCACAUCAACCAUUGAUGAAGGAGAAGCUACUUCUGAUAUGGAUUCUGACGAGGAUAUCCAGGAUUGCAGUAGUGAAGAUGAGAUGAAUGAAGCAGUCGUUAAUCACUUGUUAAAGAGUUAUAAUUAAUAAACCAUUGAAGGACAUACUUA